CGCAUCUGUGCAUGCAGCAUAUCAAUAAGCGGAGGAAAAGAAACUAACAAGGAUUCCCCUAGUAACGGCGAGUGAAGCGGGAAGAGCUCAAAUUUGAAAUCUUAAAGGGUUUCCCUUUACGAAUUGUAGUUUAAAGAAGUGUUUUCUGUAGAGGUUUUGGUAAAAGUUCUUUGAAAUAGGACAUCAUAGAGGGUGAGAAUCCCGUAUUUGACCUUUACUUUCAACUUUGUGAUACACUUUCAAAGAGUCGGAUUGUUUGGGAAUGCAGUCCAAAAUGGGUGGUAAAUUUCAUCUAAAGCUAAAUAUUGGCGAGAGACCGAUAGCGAACAAGUACCGUGAGGGAAAGAUGAAAAGAACUUUGAAAAGAGAGUUAAACAGUACGUGAAAUUGUCAAAAGGGAAGCGUUUGACACCAGUGUUGUUUUUCUGAAAAUCAAUUAAAGAACUGUUUAUGCUAAGCUGUUUAGACUUUAUCAGCUAUCUGUUUAGUUUUGAGCCUUUCUUUAAUGCACUUUUCAGUUAACAAGUCAACAUCAAUUUCUUUUGCUGUAAAAAAGCUUGAGGAAGGUGGCUUGAGAUUCGUCUUAAGUGUUUAUAGCCUCUUGCCUAUGCAGUCGGAGAGAUUGAGGUCUGCAGCGUAGAUCCUUCGGGGCUAAAUGCAUUUGUGCUAAGUUAUAGCAUUUUAUAGACAACUUGUUGACUAUGAUUUGUCUUGUAGCUUACUCGCUUAUGUUAUUUUACCUACGCUUAGGAUGUUGAGUCAUCACACAUCUCU
rnacentral:rRNA from 1 species